AGCAGCCGCGGUAAUUCCAGCUCCAAUAGCGUAUGUUAAAAGUUGUUGCAGUUAAAAGCUCGUAGUUGAAUUUCGGGAUCAAUAUAUCGGUCGUGCCUUGGUACGUACUGGUAUCAUUGGUUUCUCCUUUCUGACGAACCAUGAUGUCAUUAAUUUGGUGUUAUGGGAAGUUAGGACUGUUACUUUGAAAAAAAUUAGAGUGUUUAAAAGCAGGCUUUAGCUUGAAUACAUUAGCAUGGAAUAAUGAAAAUAGGACGUUCGAACCUAUUUUGUUGGUUUCUAGGAUCAACGUAAUGAUUAAUAGGGGAUAGUUGGGGGGCAUUAGUAUUCAAUUGUCAGAGGUGAAAUUCUUGGAUUUAUUGAAGACUAACUACUGCGAAAGCAUUUGCCAAGGAUGUUUUCAUUAAUCAAGAACGAAAGUUAGGGGAUCGAAGACGAUCAGAUACCGUCGUAGUCUUAACCAUAAACUAUGCCGACUAGGGAUCGGAUGAUGUUAAUUUUUUAAUGACUCAUUCGGCGC
rnacentral:misc_RNA from 1 species